rnacentral:rRNA from 1 species
CCUACGGGUGGCAGCAGUGGGGAAUAUUGGGCAAUGGAGGCAACUCUGACCCAGCAACGCCGCGUGAAUGAUGAAGGUCUUCGGAUUGUAAAGUUCUGUGAUGGGGGAUGAACACAAUGACGGUACCCCAAUAGCAAGCCACGGCUAACUACGUGCCAGCAGCCGCGGUAAUACGUAGGUGGCAAGCGUUAUCCGGAAUGACUGGGCGUAAAGGGUGCGUAGGUGGUUUAGUAAGUUGGCGGUGUAAUUCCGGGGCUCAACCUCGGCGCUACCGCCAAAACUAUUAGACUAGAGUGCAGGAGGGGUAAGUGGAAUUCCUGGUGUAGCGGUGAAAUGCUUAGAUAUCAGGAGGAACAUCGGUGGCGUAAGCGCUUUACUGGGCCGUAAUUGACGCUGAGGAACGAAAGCCAGGGUAGCAAAUGGGAUUAGAUACCCUAGUAGUC